AUUGAACGCUGGCGGCAGGCCUAACACAUGCAAGUCGAGCGGAUGAAGGGAGCUUGCUCCUGGAUUCAGCGGCGGACGGGUGAGUAAUGCCUAGGAAUCUGCCUGGUAGUGGGGGAUAACGUCCGGAAACGGGCGCUAAUACCGCAUACGUCCUGAGGGAGAAAGUGGGGGAUCUUCGGACCUCACGCUAUCAGAUGAGCCUAGGUCGGAUUAGCUAGUUGGUGGGGUAAAGGCCUACCAAGGCGACGAUCCGUAACUGGUCUGAGAGGAUGAUCAGUCACACUGGAACUGAGACAGGGUCCGGAGUACUACGGGAGGCAGCAGUGGGGAAUAUUGGACAAUGGGCGGAAGCCUGAUCCAGCCAUGCCGCGUGUGUGAAGAAGGUCUUCGGAUUGUAAAGCACUUUAAGUUGGGAGGAAGGGCAGUAAGUUAAUACCUUGCUGUUUUGACGUUACCAACAGAAUAAGCACCGGCUAACUUCGUG
rnacentral:rRNA from 1 species